AUUGAACGCUGGCGGCAUGCCUUACACGUGCAAGUCGAACGGCAGCACGGGUGCUUGCACCUGGUGGCGAGUGGCGAACGGGUGAGUAAUACAUCGGAACGUACCUUAUCGUGGGGGAUAACGCAGCGAAAGCUGUGCUAAUACCGCAUACGCCCUGAGGGGGAAAGCGGGGGAUCGAAAGACCUCGCGCGAUUAGAGCGGCCGAUGCCUGAUUAGCUUGCUGGUGGGGUAAAAGCCCACCAAGGCGACGAUCAGUAGCUGGUCUGAGAGGACGAUCAGCCACACUGGGACUGGGACACGGCCCAGACUCCUACGGGAGGCAGCAGUGGGGAAUUUUGGACAAUGGGGGCAACCCUGAUCCAGUAAUGCCGCGUGAGUGAAGAAGGCCUUCGGGUUGUAAAGCUCUUUUGUCAGGGAAGAAACACCGGCUCUAACACAGUCCGGGAAUGACGGUACCUGAAGAAUAAGCACCGGCUAACUACGUGCCAGCAGCCGCCGUAA
rnacentral:rRNA from 1 species